rfam:Triticum aestivum genome assembly, contig: Triticum_aestivum_CS42_TGACv1_scaffold_220776_3B
AACAUACUCCCUCCGUUUCACAAUACAUGCCUUCUAUUAUUUAAAAUAUAAAUGUAUCUAGACAUGCUUUAGUAUAUAGAUACAUUUAUUUUUGGAUAAAUGUAAGUCAAGUAUUUUGGAACGGAAGGAAUAGUUU